AGUUUGAUUUUUGCUUUGGGCUUUGUUUUAUAAUUAUUUAAUAUAUGUAAAUUUCAGUGAAGUAUAUUUUGCUCAAAGUAAAAUAUAAGUUCAUAAGCAAUAUUUAGUAUUAAUAAUGGGGGAAAUCUUGAAUUAGUAAAUUAUAUAAAGUUUGAUAAAAUCUUGUGCCAGCAGUCGCGGUUAUACUUGAAAAUUAAAUAAAGUUUAUUAGUAAAAGUUAAUAAGUUAAUUCAGAAUGAGAGUUUAUGUUUAUAAAAAGUGAAAUUAGAUUAUAAAAUAUAAAGGUUUAUUUAGAAUUUAAAGUAGUGACGCUUAGAAGGUUAAGGUAUGGAUUAGGAUUAGAUACCCUAGUACACUUAAAUUAAAUUUAUAAAUACUAGAAUAUUAAAAGUUAUGUUCUUUAAAUUUAAAAAAUUUGGCGGUGUUUUAGUCUGGUUAGAGGAACCUGUUUUAUAAACGAUACAACACGCAUUAUCUUACUUAUUUUAGUAAAACAGCUUGUAUACCGUCAUUAUGAGAUAAUUUAAGAGAGAAUAUUAUUGAAAUUAUAUUAUUAAGUAUAUUAGAUCAAGGUGCAGCUUAUAGAUAAGUAAAUAUGGGUUACAAUAAAAUUUAUUUAAUAUGAAUUAAGUAUUAAAAUAUACUUAUGAAGGAGGAUUUAAUUGUAAGAAAAAAUUAGUAAGGUUUUUUGAUAAAAGCUCUAAAUUAUGUACAUAUCGCCCGUCGCUUUCAUUUAACGUGAAAUAAGUCGUAACAUAGUAGAGGUACUG
rnacentral:ncRNA from 1 species